AACGAACGCUGGCGGCAGGCUUAACACAUGCAAGUCGAGCGCCCCGCAAGGGGAGCGGCAGACGGGUGAGUAACACGUGGGGAUCUGCCCAAUGGUACGGAAUAGCUCCGGGAAACUGGAAAUAAUACCGUAUGUGCCCGCAAGGGGAAAGAUUUAUCGCCAUUGGAUGAACCCGCGUCGGAUUAGCUAGUUGGUGAGGUAAAGGCUCACCAAGGCGACGAUCCGUAGCUGGUCUGAGAGGAUGAUCAGCCACACUGGGACUGGGACACGGCCCAGACUCCUACGGGAGGCAGCAGUGGGGAAUAUUGGACAAUGGGCGCAAGCCUGAUCCAGCCAUGCCGCGUGAGUGAUGAAGGCCUUAGGGUUGCAAAGCUCUUUCGCCGACGAAGAUAAUGACGGUAGUCGGAGAAGAAGCCCCGGCUAACUUCGUGCCAGCCGCCGCGGUAACAC
rnacentral:rRNA from 1 species